rnacentral:rRNA from 1 species
AGUCGAACGGGCUUGGGGGCUUGCUCCCGGGUUAGUGGCGAACGGGUGAGUAAUAUAUCGGAACAUAUCCGGAAGUGGGGGAUAACGUAGCGAAAGUUACGCUAAUACCGCAUAUGCCCUGAGGGGGAAAGGGGGGGAUCGCAAGACCUCUCGCUUUCGGAGUGGCCGAUACCGGAUUAGCUAGAUGGUGAGGUAAAGGCUCACCAUGGCGACGAUCCGUAGCUGGUCUGAGAGGACGACCAGCCACACUGGAACUGAGACACGGUCCAGACUCCUACGGGAGGCAGCAGUGGGGAAUUUUGGACAAUGGGCGAAAGCCUGAUCCAGCCAUACCGCGUGAGUGAAGAAGGCCUUCGGGUUGUAAAGCUCUUUCAGCCGGAAAGAAAUCGCACUUUUUAAUACGGAGUGUGGAUGACGGUACCGGAAGAAGAAGCACCGGCUAACUACGUGCCAGCAGCCGCGGUAAUACGUAGGGUGCGAGCGUUAAUCGGAAUUACUGGGCGUAAAGCGUGCGCAGGCGGUUUGAUAAGCCAGAUGUGAAAUCCCCGGGCUUAACCUGGGAACUGCAUUUGGAACUGUCAGACUAGAGUGUAGCAGAGGGGGGUAGAAUUCCACGUGUAGCAGUGAAAUGCGUAGAUAUGUGGAGGAAUACCAAUGGCGAAGGCAGCCCCCUGGGUUAACACUGACGCUCAUGCACGAAAGCGUGGGGGAGCAAACAGGAUUAGAUACCCUGGUAGUCCACGCCCUAAAACGAUGUCAACUAGUUGUGGGGGGAG